UACGUAGGCAGCAAGCGUUGUUCGGAGUUACUGGGCGUAAAGAGUGCGUAGGCGGUCCUGUAAGUUUGGUGUGAAAUCUCCCGGCUCAACUGGGGAGGGUCACGCGAUACUGAUCGACUCGAAGGCAGGAGAGGGUAGUGGAAUUCCCGGUGUAGUGGUGAAAUGCGUAGAUAUCGGGAGGAACACCAGUGGCGAAGGCGACUACCUGGCCUGUUCUUGACGCUGAGGCGCGAAAGCUAGGGGAGCAAACGGG
rnacentral:rRNA from 1 species